ACCUUACCCAGGUUUGACAUCCUUGGAAUUUCUGCGAAAGCAGAGAGUGCUUUAUUGAGCCAAGUGACAGGUGUUGCAUGGCCGUCGUCAGCUCGUGUCGUGAGAUGUUUGGUUAAGUCCAUCAACGAGCGCAACCCUUAUGGUCUGUUGUAUUUCUCAGGCCAGACUGCCCUGGUAACAGGGAGGAAGGGGGGGAUGAUGUCAGGUCAGUAUUACCCUUACAUCUGGGGCUACAAACACGCUACAAUGGCCGGUACAAAGGGCUGCCAAGUCGCGAGACGGAGCAAAUCCCAUCAAAGCCGGUCUCAGUUCGGAUAGCAGGCUGAAACUCGCCUGCUUGAAGUCGGAAUCGCUAGUAACGGUAGGUCAGCUAUACUACCGUGAAUACGUUCCCGGGUCUUGUACACACCG
rnacentral:rRNA from 1 species